CCUACGGGAGGCAGCAGUCGAGAAUCAUUCACCAUGGGGGAAACCCUGAUGGUGCGACGCCGCGUGGGGGAAUGAAGGUCUUCGGAUUGUAAACCCCUGUCAUGUGGGAGCAAAUUAAAAAGAUAGUACCACAAGAGGAAUAGACGGCUAACUCUGUGCCAGCAGCCGCGGUAAUACAGAGGUCUCAAGCGUUGUUCGGAAUCACUGGGCGUAACGCGUGCGUAGGCUGUUUCGUAAGUCGUGUGUGAAAGGCGCGGGCUAAACCCGCGGACGGCACAUGAUACUGCGAGACUAGAGUAAUGGAGGGGGAACCGGAAUGCUCGGUGGAGCAGUGAAAUGCGUAGAUAUCGAGAGGAACACUCGUGGCGAAGGCGGGUUCCUGGACAUUAACUGACGCUGAGGCACGAAGGCCAGGGGAGCGAAAGGGAUUAGAUACCCCUGUAGUC
rnacentral:rRNA from 1 species